rnacentral:misc_RNA from 1 species
GUCUAUUCAAACAACCAUCAUCAAAACACGUAGCACCAUUAUAUAACAAGGGCUUAGGAAUUAAAAUUUAUAUUAUAAGCUUUAUUUACUAAUACUAAAAUAUUAACAAGAUGCAUGAACUUGGGUUUUAUCACUAAGAUUCCACUUGUGAUGAGCCAAAUGCUAAUAACGCUCAAUAAACUUCGGCUCCAAUUAUGUAAGAUACUAGGAUCAUGCCACUAAUUCAAUUAGCAAAAAUUCCAACUCACAAUCUUAGACUUUUCAAUAAUAAACAGGACACUUAUUACAUGAGGAAACCAUACUUAAGAAAGUAUUCCCAAAUACCCAAGAAUGCAUUUAGAAUGCCCACACUGAUGUUGAUAAUUCUACGAUAUACAAAUUUUAUUCUCAUAGUUUUCUAGCUAUAAAUCACCACCUCGUCAUAAGUAGGAUCUAAUACAACACCAUUUACGGAAAUUAGCAUAAAAUAAAAGUUUCAACCGAACAUCCCCGAAAACAAGAACCUUUAUUAUUUUAGUAAUAUAAGUAGGAAGCAAUGAAGCAUCAAAACAUAAUAUGUGGGUUUUAACAUCAACAAAUAUUGACCACACUAACAGCUAUAUCUAUUUAUUUUCAAAACCCCAUCCAUCAAGAAUUAAUAAUCAAACCAUAUAAUCCAAUUCUAAAAAUUCAAAUUUAGUAAACAACCCAACCUCUGUUUCAAUUCACUCCAAACCUUCCCUCAUUAUCAUUCAGUAUAUACACAAAACAAUAAAACUAAGCAAUCAUAAACAACCACAUAGUAUCAAUCUUCCCUACCCAUUACCAAAAUGCUUGAUCAAUAAUCAAUGAUUACUAUAAAAAACAUAAAUGAAUCCAUAGUCAUCAAUUAACAAAUCGCAAAAAGAAUGUACCGGAGAAGUAACAGAUGCAAUGGCACCGAAAAAAAAUAGUGAAUACACUUAUAAAGCCAACGAUCAAAUCUAGCAAGUAUCUACUUAAUGAAUAACUAUAGAUCUACUGGGGUUGAGACAGAAACAAAUAGAAUGGGUGGCUUUUGAAGGCGCUGAUCUGGAGCAGAAUAGACACUGGUAUUGGUGAAGAAGAAUAGGUGAGCCGUUGGUUUCAACCUGAAGCUGAAAUGGGUCUGAAACUAAAAUAGGGAGCGUUUUUUUUUUUUUUUUUUUUU